rnacentral:rRNA from 1 species
GAAAACAACUCUCGGCAACGGAUAUCUCGGCUCUUGCAUCGAUGAAGAACGUAGCGAAAUGCGAUACUUGGUGUGAAUUGCAGAAUCCCGUGAACCAUCGAGUCUUUGAACGCAAGUUGCGCCCGAAGCCAUUUGGUUGAGGGCACGCCUGCCUGGGUGUCGUG